GGCCAUCUUGUGCGUCGACUGCUCCUCUCACCGCCCACCUCCCUCUCUCCCUCCCUCUCUCUCUCCGCACCACCCGCCCCUUCCUGCGCCCGCCUUCCCCCGCAACCGGGACGCGACCGGACGGGACGGGAUGAGGAGAAAUAACCGAGUCACGGCCUGGAGCCCGUGAGAGCAGGGCAGGGCGGGGGAAGUAUCGCCCGUAUCGGGCAGGGUACCUCGCACUCCGUCAGGGACGGCCUCCAAUGUCAGAUGCCUUCCUACUUUCAGGAACCUCUGUUGGCGGACCCUACGGUUGCCUCAUGCCAUCACACUUUAUUGCUUCAAGCCGGUUACUUUUCUUACUUCAGGGAAAAAUAACACAAAUUAAGUUCCCUCUUACGUGGGUGUGCAGGGCAAAGCUUUUGGGGUUUUGCCCGCCAGUCCCGAGUGAAGGCGUAGAGAUGGACUCGGUGCUGGAGAAGGUCCCCCGUAGCUUUGUGUGCUGCAGGACACAAAUCAUCCUUAGCUUUAACCAAUACCACAGCCUACUUGGAAUGCAAAGGUCUAUGUAAAUAUACCCUCUGACUGCAGCUGCUGUGGAAAAAAAGAGAAAUUAUAAGGAAGGUUUACUCAUGUACUAUAAAACUGGGAGAAAAUGAGAGACAGCAGGUGAAAGAAGCAGCAUUUACAAAGGAAGAAAAAGGAAAAUCACUGAAGCCACAGCAAUGACUCGAGGAGAUCCUUCCAGCAGUGAAGAGCACAGUCUCUGUUUUACUUCUUCAGCCAAAAUUUUAUCCCGUUUAUAUAAAUAUAUAUGCAAUAUAUGCAAAGCACCACAGGAAACAAGGGGAGAUGAUGUCAAGCUUUGACAAGAUGAAGAUCAUUCUGGAGCUUUGAAUGACUACCCAUUACAUUUCUGAAUAUUAAAAAUAUACUGGGAAAAAAAAUUAAAUGUAAAUUUGGACCCUUCAGAAGCAUCCUACUACUAUUUUACUAGGUUAUUGUAUAAAGCCUUUUAAAAACAAAUACAGGUUUAAAUAAAUUAUGCAAAAGAAA